GAGUUUUCGGUGAUCGAGAAAAACAAAACCUGGGAGUUGGUUGAUCGACCUCUAAACAGAAAAAUAAUUGGAGUGUUAGAAGAGUCUGAAGAUGAACGACAAGAUGCUUUGGUUGAUGAUGCACCUGUCAGAGGAG